rnacentral:rRNA from 1 species
GACGAACGCUGGCGGCGUGCCUAAUACAUGCAAGUUGAGCGCUGAAGGUGGGUACUUGUACCAACUGGAUGAGCAGCGAACGGGUGAGUAACGCGUGGGUAAUCUGCCUUUGAGCGGGGGACAACAUUUGGAAACGAAUGCUAAUACCGCAUAAAAACUUUAAACACAAGUUUUAAGUUUGAAAGAUGCAAUUGCAUCACUCAAAGAUGAUCCCGCGUUGUAUUAGCUAGUUGGUGAGGUAAAGGCUCACCAAGGCGAUGAUACAUAGCCGACCUGAGAGGGUGGUCGGCCAAAUUGGGACUGAGACACGGCCCAAACUCCUACGGGAGGCAGCAGUAGGGAAUCUUCGGCAAUGGACGAAAGUCUGACCGAGCAACGCCGCGUGAGUGAAGAAGGUUUUCGGAUCGUAAAACUCUGUUGGUAGAGAAGAACGUUGGUGAGAGUGGAAAGCUCAUCAAGUGACGGUAACUACCCAGAAAGGGACGGCUAACUACGUG